UAGACGGUGGCUGUGCGUGGUGGAGAAGCAGGGCACGUGCAUUACCAUCCAAUGCCGCCGGGUGGGUGGGUGGAAUGGAUGGAUGGUUCUUGAUGUGCCCAUCUUCUCCACCGAGCACGAACUGUCUU
rnacentral:pre_miRNA from 1 species